rnacentral:rRNA from 1 species
UGGGGAAUCUUCCGCAAUGGACGAAAGUCUGACGGAGCAACGCCGCGUGAGUGAUGACGGCCUUCGGGUUGUAAAGCUCUGUUAAUCGGGACGAAUGGUUCUUGUGCGAAUAGUGCAAGGAUUUGACGGUACCGGAAUAGAAAGCCACGGCUAACUACGUGCCAGCAGCCGCGGUAAUACGUAGGUGGCAAGCGUUGUCCGGAAUUAUUGGGCGUAAAGCGCGCGCAGGCGGAUUGGUCAGUCUGUCUUAAAAGUUCGGGGCUUAACCCCGUGAUGGGAUGGAAACUGCCAAUCUAGAGUAUCGGAGAGGAAAGUGGAAUUCCUAGUGUAGCGGUGAAAUGCGUAGAUAUUAGGAAGAACACCAGUGGCGAAGGAGACUUUCUGGACGAAAACUGACGCUGAGGCGCGAAAGCCAGGGGAGCGAACGGG